rnacentral:rRNA from 1 species
AGAGUUUGAUCCUGGCUCAGGAUGAACGCUGGCGGCGUGCUUAACACAUGCAAGUCGAACGGGAAACCUUUUAUUGAAGCUUCGGCAGAUUUAGCUGGUUUCUAGUGGCGGACGGGUGAGUAACGCGUGGGUAACCUGCCUUAUACAGGGGGAUAACAACCAGAAAUGGUUGCUAAUACCGCAUAAGCGCACAGGACCGCAUGGUCCGGUGUGAAAAACUCCGGUGGUAUAAGAUGGACCCGCGUUGGAUUAGCUAGUUGGCAGGGUAACGGCCUACCAAGGCGACGAUCCAUAGCCGGCCUGAGAGGGUGAACGGCCACAUUGGGACUGAGACACGGCCCAGACUCCUACGGGAGGCAGCAGUGGGGAAUAUUGCACAAUGGGGGAAACCCUGAUGCAGCGACGCCGCGUGAAGGAAGAAGUAUCUCGGUAUGUAAACUUCUAUCAGCAGGGAAGAUAGUGACGGUACCUGACUAAGAAGCCCCGGCUAACUACGUGCCAGCAGCCGCGGU